GUCCACGCCCUAAACUAUGUCAACUGGUUGUCGGGGAAGCAAUUCCUUGGUAACGAAGCUAACGCGUGAAGUUGACCGCCUGGGGAGUACGGCCGCAAGGUUAAAACUCAAAGGAAUUGACGGGGACCCGCACAAGCGGUGGAUUAUGUGGAUUAAUUCGAUGCAACGCGAAAAACCUUACCUACCCUUGACAUGUACGGAACCUCGCAGAGAUGUGAGGGUGCUCGAAAGAGAACCGUAACACAGGUGCUGCAUGGCUGUCGU
rnacentral:rRNA from 1 species